UGGGGAAUAUUGGACAAUGGGCGCAAGCCUGAUCCAGCCAUGCCGCGUGAGUGAUGAAGGCCCUAGGGUUGUAAAGCUCUUUUGUGCGGGAAGAUAAUGACGGUACCGCAAGAAUAAGCCCCGGCUAACUUCGUGCCAGCACCCGCGGUAAUACGAAGGGGGCUAGCGUUGCUCGGAAUCACUGGGCGUAAAGGGUGCGUAGGCGGGUUUCUAAGUCAGAGGUGAAAGCCUGGAGCUCAACUCCAGAACUGCCUUUGAUACUGGAAGUCUUGAGUAUGGCAGAGGUGAGUGGAACUGCGAGUGUAGAGGUGAAAUUCGUAGAUAUUCGCAAGAACACCAGUGGCGAAGGCGGCUCACUGGGCCAUUACUGACGCUGAGGCACGAAAGCGUGGGG
rnacentral:rRNA from 1 species